rnacentral:rRNA from 1 species
UAGGGAAUCUUCCACAAUGGACACAAGUCUGAUGGAGCAACGCCGCGUGAGUGAAGAAGGCUUUCGGGUCGUAAAACUCUGUUAUUGAAGAAGAACGUGUGUGACAGUAACUGGUCAUGCAGUGACGGUAUUCAAUCAGAAAGUCACGGCUAACUACGUGCCAGCAGCCGCGGUAAUACGUAGGUGGCAAGCGUUGUCCGGAUUUAUUGGGCGUAAAGCGAGUGCAGGCGGUCUUUUAAGUCUGAUGUGAAAGCCUUCGGCUUAACCGAAGAAGGGCAUCGGAAACUGGGAGACUUGAGUGCAGAAGAGGAGAGUGGAACUCCAUGUGUAGCGGUGAAAUGCGUAGAUAUAUGGAAGAACACCAGUGGCGAA